GUACAUACUGAGAUUAUUUUGCAAGAUCUUAUUAUCCAAUUCAAACUGAAUUUGGUACUGGUAUGAAUUUUUUUGAUAUUAAAUUCAGAUUGUGGUCUUCUAGAACGCAGAGAUCUUUUUUUAAAACAAACCAUCCAUCUUAUAACGAAAAACUGUUUGAAUAUAAAACAGAGAAAAAACCGUUAAAGUGUCUCAAUUAUAUUAUUAUGACUGAUUGAAAACAAACAAUUAUGACAUGCGAACUCAUUGUCUGAAGAUAAUCUAUGAUUUAAAAAGAAAACUGUAAACAAAGCUUUUGUUUUAUAAUCUGUAAACGUCACAAAAGACGUUACAAAAUCGACAAAAAAAAACAGUGGUAAUUAGUUACUCACCCGAUGAGGAGCUUGCAGGAGGCGAUGUACCGCAGCUAUUUGUGUUAUGCGUAAUCGCGAGCCAACUGAAGUCCGUGCUGUAUUUUGUGGAGAACGCGCGAUCUAGCCAGGCCCAGCCGUCGGACCGCGAUAAGCGAGCAAGAUGCUGUGAUUAGACAACUGAUAGACAAGACAAGAAUCAUUAAAGUAAUGGAAAUUAAUUAAAAACAUAUAAGUAUUAAA